AGAGUUUGAUCCUGGCUCAGAGCGAACGCUGGCGGAAUGCUUAACACAUGCAAGUCGCACGCCCCGCGAGGGGAGUGGCGGACGGGUGAGGAGCGCGUAGGAACGCGCCCCGAGGUGGGGGACAACCCUGGGAAACCGGGGCUAAUACCGCACGUGCCCUGCGGGGCAAAGCCGAAAGGCGCCUUGGGAGCGGCCUGCGUCCGAUUAGGUAGUUGGCGGGGUAACGGCCCACCAAGCCCGCGAUCGGUAGCCGGUCUGAGAGGACGAUCGGCCACACCGGGACUGAGACACGGCCCGGACUCCUACGGGAGGCAGCAGUGGGGAAUAUUGGGCAAUGGGCGCAAGCCUGACCCAGCAAUUCCGCGUGGGUGAAGAAGGUCUUCGGAUUGUAAAGCCCUUUCGGCGGGGACGAUGGUGACGGUACCCGCAGAAGAAGCCCCGGCCAACUUCGUGCCAGCAGCCGCGGUAAUACGAAGGGGGCUAGCGUUGCUCGGAAUCAUUGGGCGUAAAGGGCGCGUAGGCGGCCUUGUCAGUCAGGCGUGAAAUGCCCGGGCUCAACCCGGGAACGGCGCUUGAUACGACAAGGCUAGAGGGUGGAAGAGGGCCGCGGAAUUCCCAGUGUAGAGGUGAAAUUCGUAGAUAUUGGGAAGAACACCGGUGGCGAAGGCGGCGGCCUGGUCCAUUUCUGACGCUGAGGCGCGACAGCGUGGGGAGCAAACAGGAUUAGAUACCCUGGUAGUCC
rnacentral:rRNA from 1 species